CAUGCGGCUGCUACCAUGCAAGUCGAACGGAGAUAUCAAAGUAGCAAUACUGAGAUAUUUCAGUGGCGGACGGGUGAGUAACGCGUGAGCAAUCUGCCUUUCACAGGGGGAUAACGUUUGGAAACGAACGCUAAUACCGCAUAAUGUACGAUGGGGGCAUCCCCGACGUACCAAAGGAGCAAUCCGGUGAAAGAUGAGCUCGCGUCCGAUUAGAUAGUUGGUGAGGUAAUGGCUCACCAAGUCAGCGAUCGGUAGCCGGACUGAGAGGUCGAACGGCCACAUUGGGACUGAGAUACGGCCCAGACUCCUACGGGAGGCAGCAGUGGGGAAUAUUGGUCAAUGGGGGAAACCCUGAACCAGCAACGCCGCGUGAAGGAAGAAGGCCUUCGGGUUGUAAACUUCUUUGACGAGGGAAGAAGACAGUGACGGUACCUCGAAAACAAGCCACGGCUAACUACGUGCCAGCAGCCGCGGUAAUACGUAGGUGGCAAGCGUUGUCCGGAAUUACUGGGUGUAAAGGGCGUGUAGGCGGGUCUGUAAGUCAGGUGUGAAAUUCAAGGGCUUAACCCUUGAACUGCAUUUGAGACUGCGGAUCUUGAGUGAUGGAGAGGUAAGUGGAAUUCCUAGUGUAGCGGUGAAAUGCGUAGAUAUUAGGAGGAACACCAGUGGCGAAGGCGACUUACUGGACAUUAACUGACGCUGAGGCGCGAAAGCGUGGGGAGCAAACAGGAUUAGAUACCCUGGUAGUCCACGCCGUAACGAUGGAUACUAGGUGUGGGGGGGACUGACCCCUUCCGUGCCGGAGUUAACACAAUAAGUA
rnacentral:rRNA from 1 species